rnacentral:rRNA from 1 species
GUGCACCAGGCGCGAAAUCUUCGCAAUGCAGGAAACUGCGACGAGGGAACUCCAAGUGCCUACGCUCAGCGUAGGCUGUUCUCAAGCCUAGAAAGCUUGAGGAGUAAGGGCUGGGUAAGACGGGUGCCAUCUGUGGUAGCAGUCAAUAGAUUCGAUUUGUUACUGCAAGGCAUAAGCCGCCGCGGUAAUACCCCGCAGCCCAAGUGGUGGCCGCUUUUAUUGGGCCUAAAGCGUCCGUAGCCGGCCCGGUAAAUGCCUGGGUAAAUCGUGGAGCCCAACUUCACGAAUUCCGGGUAGACUGCCGAGCUCGGGACCGGAAGAGGGAGAGGGUACUUCAGGGGUAGGGGUGAAAA